AUGACAUCAACUUGACAGAGUGCCAAGGUGAUUGAAAUUGAAAAAUAUUCAAAUACCUACGUCUGUUUAUUACGUUUAUUGUGUUUGUGUUUUAAAAUACAUAAUAAUCCCGUGUUAAUGUAUUCACAGUGUAUUUUUGUAAACAUGAUAAACUACACUCGCAACGAACUUCGACGAAUAACAUCACUCAAGAAGAUUUCGAGGUAUCACAUUAUACCCGGUAACAAUAUAAUAAAGUCACACAAAUGAGCUGAAUACUGUCACCCUACUGGGGAGAUCAACUAAUAAGAGUCACUUGUGCAACAAGAUGCAGUAAGCACUUUGGUGACUCCGCAUUUACAAGCCAUGGAAACUUCAUCACCUGUCCAGGUGUCAACCAUAUUAUGUGAAGCAACUACUAAUGGUCUAAAGGAUGCAUGGACGAGCUUAUCAUGGAUAACGUAACAUUAGAACGCAACGAGAGUACCUCAUAUCACAGAGAAUAAGUGCCAAAGACCAGAGGAAUUUUGAGGGAGCUGGCUUAAGAAAUAACGCCCAGAAAGACACAAAAUUAAUAAACAACCAUGCAGUCUCCUCGCAAUACGCAACAGAUACAAAUUGUUGACGAAACUUGCGGAUAUAGGACUCUGUAUGCCGUGUUGAAGGCGCCGGCGCAUGCGCAUCACAAAUUGCACCACGAACACAAACAGCGGUGAUGAGAUACGACUCCCCACGGGAAUAGUGAAAAGACAACAGUUUAUAACUGCAAAAAAACAUUAAUAAGCCCGACAAGCCGCGGUAAAUGUACGACGCAGUCGAAAGUAAGGGAGUCAGUCUCAGCAGCGUUGAAUGGCUCGAACUUACUAUUGUUUCUGGCCGGAAUAUUAUUCCGAUAUCGGAAGGAAGCGACAAUCGCCGUCAUAUAUAAUAACAAAAUAAUAAUAUCAGCCCUGUAUCAUGUACUGUCCCACUGGUGGGCACGGGCCAACACUACUACUGAGAGGGAUUAGGCGUUAG